AUGGCAGGCAGCGGAUCAGACUCCUACCACUCUGGAUUCGUCGACUGGGGUGUCAUCCCGUGCAGGUUGGAGGAGGCAAUGACAGUCCGCAUUGCACUCCGCCGCUCUCAGGAGGACAGCACCCGGCCGACGGACGGAUCCUUCCGCCGUGAAGGGCAGGGAGUGAAUGACCUCCAGUCAUUCGGUGCACUGGGCAGCCGUGUAAAUGUGGAUCGCCUCGACGAAGGCAGCUGCGCACGUAGCGACGUGACAGGCCACACGCUUGCCUUACCGUGCGCUCUACGUGUACCGGUCCAUUCAGUCCAAGGCUGCCUCCCACCCUUGGAUAUGCCCGCGUGCCGUGCCAGGUGCACUACUGCACGUUCCGACGGCGACGCGUGCCGUUUGGCCAUCUCACCAGUCGAGCUCCAGCCCAUCCUCGGCGACGACAUGGCCGUCCUCCUGCGCUUCUCGUCGCUGGACGGGGAGUGGGUCAGCAAGAGCGUUGGCUACCCGCUUCCGGCCGGCCUUCACAGCACCAACGGCGUCAUCUCCUGCUCCAGGAGGCUCCCGAACGGCAAGGCGCUCAAGUGCAGGAAAGCCUCGGGGUCGGGGAUGCUCGGCAAGUACCUCUACGUGGGCGUCGGCGCCGGGCAAGCGGCAAGCUGCGUGGACGCUGGAGUACGGUACGAGGCCAGCUACAAGGCCACUGGUCUGCCAAGGAAGAUCCCCGUGCUUGGGCUCAACCAUGUGCUCGGCGUCGACGUGCGUGCUCGCAAGGUCGUGGGCUGCGAGAUCUACGAGCUCGUUCAGAACGAAGACGUCGCUACUAGCUACCCGCUUUGUUCAUGCUUGGCAGCUGCCACGGGCUCUCCGCUCAGGUUCGUAAUUGUACUAGUCCUUCUUCGCAUGUGA
rnacentral:rRNA from 1 species